UACGUAGGGUGCAAGCGUUAUUCGGAAUUACUGGGCGUAAAGCGUGCGCAGGCGGUUAUUCAAGUCAGAGGUGAAAGCCCCGGGCUCAACCCGGGAAUGGCCUUUGAGACUGGAUAGCUAGAGUGUGAGAGAGGUGAGUGGAAUUCCCAGUGUAGAGGUGAAAUUCGUAGAUAUUGGGAAGAACACCCGUGGCGAAAGCGGCUCUCUGGAACGGUACUGACGCUGAGACGCGAAAGCGUGGGGAGCGAACAGG
rnacentral:rRNA from 1 species